UACGAAGGGGGCUAGCGUUGCUCGGAAUGACUGGGCGUAAAGGGCGCGUAGGCGGAUGGCACAGUCAGAUGUGAAAUUCCCGGGCUUAACCUGGGGGCUGCAUUUGAUACGUGUUGUCUAGAGUGAGGAAGAGGGUUGUGGAAUUCCCGAGUGUAGAGGUGAAAUUCGUAGAUAUUGGGAAGAACACCGGUGGCGAAGGCGGCAACCUGGUCCUUGACUGACGCUGAGGCGCGAAAGCGUGGGGAGCAAACAGG
rnacentral:rRNA from 1 species